UGGCGGACGGGUGAGUAAUGUCUGGGAAACUGCCCGAUGGAGGGGGAUAACUACUGGAAACGGUAGCUAAUACCGCAUAACGUCGCAGGACCAAAGAGGGGGACCUUCGGGCCUCUUGCCAUCGGAUGUGCCCAGAUGGGAUUAGCUAGUAGGUGGGGUAAUGGCUCACCUAGGCGACGAUCCCUAGCUGGUCUGAGAGGAUGACCAGCCACACUGGAACUGAGACACGGUCCAG
rnacentral:rRNA from 1 species